rnacentral:rRNA from 1 species
GGUUGAUCCUGCCAGUAGCAUAUGCUUGUCUCAAAGAUUAAGCCAUGCAUGUCCAAGUAUAAACCUUUAUACGGUGAAACUGCGAAUGGCUCAUUAUAUCAGUUAUCAUUUAUUUGAUAGUACCUUACUACAUGGAUAACCGUGGUAAUUCUAGAGCUAAUACAUGCGCACGGCUGUCUCUUAAGAGGAGACAGCGGUAUUUAUUAGAUCUCAAACCUUUGCAGUGGCGCAGGCUGCUGGAGCUGUGAUUCAUAAUAACUGCACGGAUCGUAGGACCUCGCGUCGACGACGU